UACGUAGGGUCCAGGCGUUAAUCGGAAUUACUGGGCGUAAAGCGUGCGCAGGCGGUUGUGUAAGCCAGAUGUGAAAUCCCCGGGCUUAACCUGGGAAUGGCAUUUGGGACUGCACGGCUAGAGUACGGCAGAGGAGACUAGAAUUCCUGGUGUAGCAGUGAAAUGCGUAGAUAUCAGGAGGAAUACCGAUGGCGAAGGCAGGUCUCUGGGUCGAUACUGACGCUGAGAAGCGAAAAGCAUGGGGAGCGAACAGG
rnacentral:rRNA from 1 species